ensembl:lncRNA FRMD6-AS2 FRMD6 antisense RNA 2
AAAUAGAGGCCAGGACUCCUGGCUCCCCGUCCAGACUCUGAGGACCCAGGAGCCUCCAUGGGUACACUCAGAGGCCACACUAGAUGCAAAAAGAACCAUUUACAGAGAAGUGAGAGGUUCUCAAAGGCUCAACCAAAUGCCUCUGCCAGGAGAAUCUUUCAGAGUGUCCUGGAACAUUGGAAAUAGGCUUAAAGCUUAAAUGAUGAAUCAGAAGAGUUAUGCUGUAUUCUAAUGCUGCCACUAGGACCUAACAAAGGGAAUGGAGAGUAAUCACAUCAUUCCAAGACCCUUCCUUUGCAGUCCUGUAGUCACAGCUCCAAAGACUCUGGGUUUUGGAGUAAGAGCUGUAACUGCUCAAGAAGAAUUCGUGAACAAAAGCACAUCUUUCUGAGGAGGCAGAAUAUCACAGGCCUAUGACACCAGACUGCUGGAAGAGGCACUAGAGGUUGACAAUAGAUUCCAACAUCUCAUAAACCAGGAAGCAGCCUCAGGAAGGUUGGCAGCUGCCAAACCCAUAGGCUAAGCAGUGGUGGGACUGUGAUUCAAAC